rnacentral:misc_RNA from 1 species
UAUCUUGCAGUGACUUGAUGUGCUA